GGGAAAGCCGGUGCGAGUCCGGCACUGACCCGCAACCGUGAGGCCGCAGCGCCGCAGUCGGAACGCCC
rnacentral:ncRNA from 2 species